CCUCUCUCGUUCACUUCUCAUUUCUCAAAGCAAGAUAUAGAGAGAUUUUAGUAAAAGAACCAACAUCUUUCCUGUUCCUUAACACACACUCCCACCGUCAAAGCCACCCAAUCAAAGACAAAGAUGCACCAAAAAGCCCCAAGAGUUCCAUAGAGAUACACUCCUUAAAUUUUAUAUCUUAUCUCUUUUCUUGUUCAUCCUUUUGGCUUCUCUUCGUUUUUUUUUUUAAUAUUAAUUCUGUUUCUCAUCCCCACUUUAAUCUGUGUUUUCUUUCGUAAAGAUCGUUCUUCGGGUUCAAGCUUUCGAAUCACUUUUGGGUAGUUUGCUUGUUUAGGCCUUCUUCACUUUAGAAACCCAAGCAAACAUCUUGAUCUUUCUUGGGUUUUGACUUGUGUGAGUUUAGAUUUAGAUGCAUGACCUAAACAACUAUUUCUUCGGGUGAUUUUUAGUGUUGAUUUUGAUCAUCGUCUCUCUUUUUUAGCUUGUGCUUGAGUUGAGAUCAUGGCAAACCGGUGGUGGACCGGGCAGGUGGGUCUAGCUGGACUGGAAAACUCGUCAAGUUCAUCUCCAAUGAAACAACCAGAUCUGGGAAUAUCUAUUAACGAUGACAGUGGAACCGGAAACAGCAGAGGUGGGAACGAAGAAGACGAAGAAAGGGAGAACAGUGAGGAGCCGAGAGAAGGCGCAAUCGAAGGAGCCACUCGAAGGCCGAGAGGCCGCCCACCUGGCUCCAAAAACAAGCCGAAACCGCCUAUUUUUGUCACCCGAGACAGCCCUAAUGCGCUUCGUAGCCAUGUCAUGGAAAUAGCUAGUGGAGCUGAUGUUGUAGAUAGUGUGGCUCAAUUCGCGAGAAGGCGGCAGAGAGGUGUUUGUGUGCUCAGCGCCAGCGGCACCGUCACAAACGUUUCGCUUCGCCAGCCGUCUGCGCCUGCUGCUGCUGUCAUGGCACUUCAAGGCCGCUUCGAGAUUCUCUCACUCACCGGUUCGUUUCUGCCCGGACCCGCACCCCCCGGUUCCACCGGACUCACCAUCUAUCUAGCCGGGGGACAAGGUCAGGUGGUGGGAGGCAGUGUCGUGGGCCCGCUUGUGGCUGCUGGGUCGGUGAUGGUGAUGGCGGCGACAUUUUCGAAUGCCACCUACGAAAGAUUGCCUCUGGAGGAUGAAGACGAAAGUGGUGGCCCUGCCGGACAGGGACAUGAGAUGACCAGUGGUGGUGGUGGAAUCUCGCCGCCGCCGGGAUUCAGAAGUGGAGGAGGGCAGCAGCAGCAGCAGCAAGGUGGAAUGGGUGAGCAUCCACAGAUGCCGGUCUAUAAUUUGCCUCCAAAUUUGCUUCCCAACGGUGGGCAGUUGAACCAUGAGGCUUAUAAUCCUUGGGCGGGUCAUGGCCGGCCACAAUAUUAGAGUUAGGGUUUGUGAAGAUGAUCAGAUGGGUGAGAAAGAUCGAGUAAUUAAGACACAAUCAGUAGUGAAGAAACUGAAAUUUAGAGAAGAUGAUGAUCAAGGAGCUGGGCAUGCAUGCAUGGUGUUGUUCAUGAGGUCCUUUCUUCAAUUCCUUUUUUAUUUUCUUUCUAUUAAUCCCUGAUGUUCAUUGUUCAUGAUCAUCGUCUACUCUCGAGUACCAGUACUGUUUUGUUUUUCUCUUUGAUCUCGUGCUCAUUCUCGAUGAUCCAUUAAUUAAUAUGACUGUGGAUAUAUCUUUAUAACUUCGAUCUGAUCUCUUUC